GAUGAAGAACGUAGCGAAAUGCGAUAAGUAAUGUGAAUUGCAGAAUUCAGUGAAUCAUCGAAUCUUUGAACGCACAUUGCGCCCAUUAGUAUUUUAGUGGGCAUGCCUGUUCGAGCGUCAUUUCAACCCCUAAGCACAGCUUAUUGUUGGGAACCUACGGCUUCGUAGUUCCUCAAAGACAUUGGCGGAGUGGCAGUGGUCCUCUGAGCGUAGUAAUCUUUUAUCUCGCUUCUGUUAGGUGCUGCCCCCCCGGCCGUAAAACCCCCAAUUUUUUCUGGUUGACCUCGGAUCAGGUAGGAAUACCCGCUGAACUUAAGCAUAUCAAUAAGCGGAAGGA
rnacentral:misc_RNA from 1 species